rnacentral:sRNA from 2 species
GCGCGGCCUCCGCCGAGUCCGGCGCGCCCGCACGGCGACCGGAGCCGGGGACCCAACCGACUCUGGGGUGAAUCGGCCCCUCCCUUUCAGGGAGGAGCCGUAGGGCAACCCUUCCGAACGACCCGCCCGAACCCGACAGCUAACCCGGUAGGCGGCCGAUGGAAGGAGUC